CCUACGGGCGGCAGCAGUGAGGAAUAUUGGUCAAUGGACGAGAGUCUGAACCAGCCAAGUAGCGUGAAGGAUGACUGCCCUAUGGGUUGUAAACUUCUUUUAUAUGGGAAUAAAAUGUUCCACGUGUGGGUUUUUGUAUGUACCAUAUGAAUAAGGAUCGGCUAACUCCGUGCCAGCAGCCGCGGUAAUACGGAGGAUCCGAGCGUUAUCCGGAUUUAUUGGGUUUAAAGGGAGCGUAGGUUGAUUGUUAAGUCAGUUGUGAAAGUUUGCGGCUCAACCGUAAAAUUGCAAUUGAUACUGGCAGCCUUGAGUACAGUUGAGGUAGGCGGAAUUCGUGGUGUAGCGGUGAAAUGCUUAGAUAUCACGAAGAACUCCGAUUGCGAAGGCAGCUUACUAAACUGCCACUGACAUUGAUGCUCGAAAGUGUGGGUAUCAAACAGGAUUAGAUACCCUAGUAGUC
rnacentral:rRNA from 1 species